rnacentral:rRNA from 1 species
UACGUAGGUCCUGAGCGUUGUCCGGAUUUAUUGGGCGUAAAGCGAGCGCAGGUGGUUUAUUAAGUCUGGUGUAAAAGGCAGUGGCUCAACCAUUGUAUGCAUUGGGAACUGGUAGACUUGAGUGCAGGAGAGGAGAGUGGAAUUCCAUGUGUAGCGGUGAAAUGCGUAGAUAUAUGGAGGAACACCGGUGGCGAAAGCGGCUCUCUGGCCUGUAACUGACACUGAGGCUCGAAAGCGUGGGGAGCAAACAGG